UGCUGAGUGGUUAUAUUACUACCUGAAAUAAACAAGCAGAAACUUGACGUAACUCGUUUCUGCUUGUUUAUUUCAGGUAGUAAUAUAACCACUCAGCAU